AUUGCUUCUUUGAUAAGCUACCGUGCAUUUUUCUUAGGCAUGAAAAUUAAAGUGUAAUGUUAUUGUUUAGCAAAAGUUAGUCUUGCAAUGCAUCCAAAUAAGAUGUUUUUUCUUCAAAAAAGAAAGAGAGUUCCAAACACAUGAGCAUAUAUACACUCCCUCAUAUAGAGACUACAGUCAGUCAUGGGAUUUUUAACACCUUUUUUCAACGUAGGUAAUUAUUCACCAAGAAGCACGAAUUUUCCAAACUUUCAGCAAACAGUCAUUCCUCUUUCUUUCAAUACUUUUAAAUGCUUUUUAAAUUGGACAUGGAGUCUGAUGGUCCUCAUGAAGUCAAAAUUUUGAACCUCAAUGUAUUGCUUUUGGUUCCAUCAUUGGAAUUUUAUUGCUCAAUCCACUUUGUUGUUUGAAAUGA
rnacentral:misc_RNA from 1 species